rnacentral:rRNA from 1 species
ACGCCUGGGACUACGGGCUAAGCCUAAAACCCAAAGGACUUGACGGUGUCCCACCCAACUAGAGGAGCCUGUCCUGUAAUCGAUAACCCCCGCUAAACCUCACCUCUCUUUGCUUUCUCAGCCUGUAUACCUCCGUCGCAAAUCAACCAUGUGAACGCCAAAUAGUAUGAUUCAAUGGCCCCACGCCAAAACGUCAGGUCAAGGUGCAGCCCAUAGAGAGGGAAGUGAUGGGCCACAAUCUCUAACCUAGAACAAACGAACUACUGCACAUGAAAUUCAGUUAUGAAGGAGGAUUUAGUAGUAAAGAGAAAACAAUGUGUUCUCUUUAACACGGCCCUGGGACGCGUACACACCGCCAAUCACCCUCA